rnacentral:rRNA from 1 species
CAAAAGCGUAUAUUAAAGUUGUUGCAGUUAAAAAGCUCGUAGUUGAACCUUGGGCUUGGCUGGCCGGUCCAUCUUUUUUGAUGCGUACUGGACCCAGCCGAGCCUUUCCUUCUGGCUAGCCUUUUGGCGAACCAGGACUUUUACUUUGAAAAAAUUAGAGUGUUCAAAGCAGGCCUUUGCUCGAAUAUAUUAGCAUGGAAUAAUAGAAUAGGACGUUAUGGUUCUAUUUUGUUGGUUUCUAGGACCAUCGUAAUGAUUAAUAGGGACGGUCGGGGGUAUCAGUAUUCAGUUGUCAGAGGUGAAAUUCUUGGAUUUACUGAAGACUAACUACUGCGAAAGCAUUUACCAAGGACGUUUUCAUUGA